rnacentral:lncRNA from 1 species
GCAAUGAACCAUGAAAAUGAGGUCACAGUCAAAUAAAACCUGCGCGACUGACAUAAAGAUCAUAAAAUAUUUCCAUACACCAAAUAUAGUUGACCUAUGGGAUAUAGUAUUAGAUAAAAAGACCAAAACUCAAAAACUUAACUUUGACCACUGAACCAUGAAAAUGAGGUCAAGGUCACAUGACAUCUGCCCGCUAGACAUGUACACCUUACAAUCAUUCCAUACAACAAAUAUAGUAGACCUAUUGCAUAUAGUAUGAGAAAAACAGACCAAAACACAAAAAUUUAACUAUAACCACUGAACCAUGAAAAUGAGGUCAAGGUCAGAUGACACCUGCCAGUUGGACAUGUACACCUUAUAGUCCUUCCAUACACCGAAUAUACUAGCCCUAUUGCUUAUAGUAUCUGAGAUAUGGACUUGACCACCAAAACUUAACCUUGUUCACUGAUCCAUGAAAUGAGGUCGAGGUCAAGUGAAAACUGUCUGACAGACAUGAGGACCUUGCAAGGUACGCAC